GACGAACGCUGGCGGCGUGCUUAACACAUGCAAGUCGUACGGUAAGGCCCUUUCUGGGGUACACGCUUGGCGAACGGGUGAGUAACACGUGCGUAACCUGCCCACAACUUUGGGAUAACGCUAGGAAACUGGUGCUAAUACUGGAUAUGUGCUCCUGCUGCAUGGUUGGGGUUGGAAAGCUCCGGCGGUUGUGGAUGGACUCGCGGCCUAUCAGCUUGUUGGUGGGGUAGUGGCCUACCAAGGCGGCGACGGGUAGCCGGCCUGAGAGGGUGACCGGCCACAAUGGGACUGGGAUACGGCCCAGACUCCUAAGGGAGGCAGCAGUGGGGAAUAAUGCACAAUGGGCGCAAGCCUGAAUCAGCAACGCCGCGUGCGGGAUGACGGCCUUCGGGUUGUAAAACGCGUUCAGCAGGGACGAAGCUGUUUGUGACGGUACCUGCAGAAGAAGCACCGGCUAACUACGUG
rnacentral:rRNA from 1 species